AGAUUAAGUUAUUAAGGGCGCACGGUGGAUGCCUUGGCACUAGAAGCCGAUGAAGGACGUUACUAACGACGAUAUGCUUUGGGUAGCUGUAAGUAAGCGUUGAUCCAGAGAUUUCCGAAUGGGGGAACCCAACAUGAGUUAUGUCAUGUUAUCGACAUGUG
rnacentral:rRNA from 1 species